rnacentral:rRNA from 1 species
AUCCAUGGCCUUACCACCCAGAGCGCACCCGAUCUCAUCUGGUCUUGGAGUCUAAGCAGGAUUGGUUGCACCAGGAUGAGAGAUCACUUGGGAAUACUGAGUGCUGGGGUG